rnacentral:rRNA from 1 species
GCUGAAGCCUGGUGCUUGCACCGGGUGGAUGAGUGGCGAACGGGUGAGUAACACGUGAGUAACCUGCCCCUGACUUCGGGAUAAGCCCGGGAAACUGGGUCUAAUACCGGAUACGACUGCCGGACGCAUGUCUGGUGGUGGAAAGUUUUUUCGGUUGGGGAUGGGCUCGCGGCCUAUCAGUUUGUUGGUGAGGUAAUGGCUCACCAAGACGACGACGGGUAGCCGGCCUGAGAGGGCGACCGGCCACACUGGGACUGAGACACGGCCCAGACUCCUACGGGAGGCAGCAGUGGGGAAUAUUGCACAAUGGGGGAAACCCUGAUGCAGCGACGCAGCGUGCGGGAUGACGGCCUUCGGGUUGUAAACCGCUUUCAGCAGGGAAGAAGCGCAAGUGACGGUACCUGCAGAAGAAGUACCGGCUAACUACGUGCCAGCAGCCGCGGUAAUACGUAGGGUACGAGCGUUGUCCGGAAUUAUUGGGCGUAAAGAGCUCGUAGGUGGUUGGUCACGUCUGCUGUGGAAACGCAACGCUUAACGUUGCGCGUGCAGUGGGUACGGGCUGACUAGAGUGCAGUAGGGGAGUCUGGAAUUCCUGGUGUAGCGGUGAAAUGCGCAGAUAUCAGGAGGAACACCGGUGGCGAAGGCGGGACUCUGGGCUGUAACUGACACUGAGGAGCGAAAGCAUGGGGAGCGAACAGGAUUAGAUACCCUGGUAGUCCAUGCCGUAAACGUUGGGCACUAGGUGUGGGGGGCAUUCCACGUUCUCCGCGCCGUAGCUAACGCAUUAAGUGCCCCGCCUGGGGAGUACGGUCGCAAGGCUAAAACUCAAAGGAAUUGACGGGGGCCCGCACAAGCGGCGGAGCAUGCGGAUUAAUUCGAUGCAACGCGAAGAACCUUACCAAGGCUUGACAUACACCGGACCGUCCUGGAAACAGGUCCUCUUCUUUGAAGCUGGUGUACAGGUGGUGCAUGGUUGUCGUCAGCUCGUGUCGUGAGAUGUUGGGUUAAGUCCCGCAACGAGCGCAACCCUCGUUCUAUGUUGCCAGCAUGUGAUGG